CAUAUUAAUCUUAGAAGACAAUAUCACACAAUGCAUUUGCAGUACCAGUGCUGAUUCCAAGAUUUGGAAUACUUGACUGGUCUGUAGAAGAAAUCCACUCCAUAGAUAUUAAAACCCACAAGAUUUUAACAUCAACUGGAAAUCUCUACAAAAAUAGUGAUAUUGACAGGCUCUACCUAAGAAGAGAUAAAUGAGGUAGAGGCUUGAGAUGAGUGCAGACAGCCUUUGAAUGUCGCAUAGUCUCUCUCAGACAGCACUUGCUAGACAACAACAGUAGAAAUAAAUACAUUAACAGUGGUGGAAACAGAAGAAAACUAUAUCCUGUGUGUUGGAAGUGAGCUCCUCAGGAAUUAUUCUUUUCCUGAUGACCUCCCAUACAAUCCCAAAUCAGCCAGACAAGCAUACCUCAAAGAAGACCUGGAAGUGAAACACUCAGCAUACCAAAAAAAAAAGAAGACCUUGCAUGGGUAUGUUUCUCAAAGACUUGAAGAUAGUAACAUUGACAUGAAGUGAAGCCUCUCUUAGACUCAUGACUGCUCUGUCACAUCACACUUUGAAGGCUAUGCAUUUGCAAUCCAAGGACAGGAGAUUGUAACUAAAUACGUAAUGAGCAAAAGAGACAGUGAAGCCCUUGGAGUUCCAAGAUGCAACCAAAAAUGCAGAUUAUGUCAUUUAUCUGAGGAAGACAUCACACAUGUAAUUAACAGCUGUCCAAAAAUGUCAUCAAGAUACUACCUCCCUAUACGACAUGAUGUUGUCACAAAAACAAUAUACAAUGCCAUUUGGAAAAAAGAUUGUCCUGGAAUAUAAAGAAUUCCCCUGUUAUUGAAUACAUACAUAAAUAUUAGC